CGGGACACGUGGUAUCCUGUCUGAAUAUGGGGGGACCAUCCUCCAAGGCUAAAUACUCCUGACUGACCGAUAGUGAACCAGUACCGUGAGGGAAAGGCGAAAAGAACCCCGGCGAGGGGAGUGAAAAAGAACCUGAAACCGUGUACGUACAAGCAGUGGGAGCCUCUUUAUGGGGUGACUGCGUACCUUUUGUAUAAUGGGUCAGCGACUUAUAUUCUGUAGCAAGGUUAACCGAAUAGGGGAGCCGAAGGGAAACCGAGUCUUAACUGGGCGUUAAGUUGCAGGGUAUAGACCCGAAACCCGGUGAUCUAGCCAUGGGCAGGUUGAAGGUUGGGUAACACUAACUGGAGGACCGAACCGACUAAUGUUGAAAAAUUAGCGGAUGACUUGUGGCUGGGGGUGAAAGGCCAAUCAAACCGGGAGAUAGCUGGUUCUCCCCGAAA
rnacentral:rRNA from 1 species